UACGUAGGUGGCUAGCGUUGUCCGGAUUUACUGGGCGUAAAGCGCGCGCAGGCGGUCGUUCAAGUCGAGUGUGAAAGCCCCCGGCUCAACUGGGGAGGGUCACUCGAUACUGAUCGACUUGAAGGCAGAAGAGGGAAGCUGAAUUCCCGGUGUAGUGGUGAAAUGCGUAGAUAUCGGGAGGAACACCAGUGGCGAAGGCGGCUUUCUGGUCUGUUCUUGACGCUGAGGCGCGAAAGCUAGGGUAGCAAACGGG
rnacentral:rRNA from 1 species